UCUUAUCGAGAGAGGUGGAGGGAUGUGCCCUGCGAAGCCCGGCAACCGUCUAUAUUAGAAAUAGAAAUGGUGCCAAUUCACAUAAAGUUAAACUUUAGAAGAUGAGA
rnacentral:ncRNA from 1 species